rnacentral:rRNA from 1 species
UACGUAGGGGGCAAGCGUUGUCCGGAUUUAUUGGGCGUAAAGAGCGUGUAGGCGGCCUGAAAGGUCAGCUGUGAAAACUCGAGGCUCAACCUCGAGACGUCGGUUGAAACCAUCUGGCUAGAGUCCGGGAGAGGAGAGUGGAAUUCCUGGUGUAGCGGUGAAAUGCGCAGAUAUCAGGAAGAACACCCGUGGCGAAGGCGGUUCUCUGGGACGGUACUGACGCUGAGACGCGAAAGCGUGGGGAGCGAACAGG